rnacentral:misc_RNA from 1 species
GAUGAAGAACGUAGCGAAAUGCGAUACGUAAUGUGAAUUGCAGAAUUCAGUGAAUCAUCGAGUCUUUGAACGCACAUUGCGCCCCCUGGUAUUCCGGGGGGCAUGCCUGUCCGAGCGUCAUUGCUGCCCUCAAGCACGGCUUGUGUGUUGGGCCUCCGUCCUCCUCCCGGGGGACGGGCCCGAAAGGCAGCGGCGCCACCGCGUCCGGUCCUCGAGCGUAUGGGGCUUCGUCACCCGCUCUUGUAGGCCCGGCCGGCGCUUGCCGACACAUCAAUCUUUUUUCCAGGUUGACAUCGGAUCAGGUAGGGAUACCCGCUGAACUUAAGCAUAUCAAUAAGCGGAGGA